ACGGGAGGCAGCAGUGGGGAAUAUUGCACAAUGGGGGAAACCCUGAUGCAGCGACGCCGCGUGAGUGAAGAAGUAUUUCGGUAUGUAAAGCUCUAUCAGCAAGGAAGAAAAUGACGGUACUUGACUAAGAAGCCCCGGCUAACUACGUGCCAGCAGCCGCGGUAAUACGUAGGGGGCAAGCGUUAUCCGGAUUUACUGGGUGUAAAGGGAGCGUAGACGGUAAGGCAAGUCUGAAGUGAAAUGCAGGGGCUCAACCCCUGAACUGCUUUGGAAACUGUCAAACUAGAGUGCAGGAGAGGUAAGUGGAAUUCCUAGUGUAGCGGUGAAAUGCGUAGAUAUUAGGAGGAACACCAGUGGCGAAGGCGACUUUCUGGACUGUAACUGACACUGAGGUACGAAAGCGUGGGGAGCAAACAGGAUUAGAUACCCUGGUA
rnacentral:rRNA from 1 species